rnacentral:rRNA from 1 species
UACGUAGGGGGCAAGCGUUGCUCGGAAUCACUGGGCGUAAAGCGCACGUAGGCGGCUUUUUAAGUCAGGGGUGAAAUCCUGGAGCUCAACUCCAGAACUGCCUUUGAUACUGAGAAGCUUGAGUCCGGGAGAGGUGAGUGGAACUGCGAGUGUAGAGGUGAAAUUCGUAGAUAUUCGCAAGAACACCAGUGGCGAAGGCGACUCACUGGCCCGAUACUGACGCUGAGGCGCGAAAGCGUGGGGAGCGAACAGGA